CGACCGGGGGCCGCAGCUGCCCAGCCUGAGGGCAGCGCAGCGGAGGAUCAGCUGCUCGGGGGCCAGGUGCCCCAGCUCGGCCGCCGAUCCCCCGGGUAUCCUGGGCCUGGACCGCAGGCACCCAGGGUGGCGGAGAUUCCAGCAUCUGCAGUGUCGUGUGUCUGCAGUGCCCAAGCUGUGAACGGCUUUGUUCAGAAACGUCACUUGGACCUCAUUUAACAGAAUAAAGUGGCCCACAGCAGAUACAUGUCACAUCAGAUGGGAGAGGGAUACUUGCUGUCUCACCAGACUCUCGAGGACCUGGAUAGAUGGUGCAGGGCUUCCCAUGCACCUGCACUGUUGUGAGGCUUUCUUGGAAAGAUGGA